AAUGGACCUUUCCCCUUAUAACUAAAAUUUCGAUCUAGACAAAAAUUUCAUCACAGCUUGAAAGAGCAUCACAAAAUUAGUGAUGUUCCAAAGUUUUGUUGCAAAAUCUUGUAAAAUGCGGAUAAUAUAGCCUUGCAAAGUUUGCCGUUUUUCAGUCAUUUUGUAUUACAAACGGGAAAUUGACAUCCGAUUCGGGUGUUGGGGCUGCAAUUUCCCGUUUGUAAUGCAAAAUGACUGAAAAUUGCAAACUUCGCAAGGCUCUAUUUUCCUCAUUUUACAACAUUUCGCAACGAAACUUUGGAAUAUUACUAAUUUUGUGAUGCUCUUUCAAGCUGUGAUGAAAUAUUUGUCUAGACUUGCCUAGAUCAAAAUUUUGGUUAUAAGGGGAAAGGUCUAUUAAAGGCACAGUUCAGCCUUUUGAAUGAUGGUUUUUAAGGCCAUUUAAGCCUGUGAUAAUGACGUCAACGUCACAUCUAUUAACUGUGGUCACAUACUGUAUAUAGACAACAUUGCUUUGCGAGGACAUAAGCUGGACCGCAUGGCGAGCAAAGCAUGGCGAGCUUGAUAUUAUUGUAUUUGAAAAACAACUUAUAGUUAAUAGAACUUUACUUAUAGUUAAUAAAACUUUACUUAUAGUUAAUAAAACUUGGCAUGGAUAUUACACAGCCC